rnacentral:lncRNA from 1 species
UCUUCCCUCCCGAUAUCUUCUAAUGUUUUCUUCAAGUAUGGGAGCUACACAAAAGAGACAAGUGCUUUUGCUCUUUUCACUUCCCCAGGAGCAUGCUGGCUAACAUCAAAGGCUAGGACUAAGGCAAAAAGAACAACAAGAAGUGAUAAUUUUAGUAAGAAGGGAGGAAGGGGGAUUCUGUAAAGUGACUUGGCAGUACAGAGGAAACACAGUGGCAAGCAAAGAUGUAAGAUGUAGCUGCUGGAAACAUGCAGUAUUAGUGAAGAGAGUCUUGCCCACUCAGUUUCUAUAUAGUUUAAAAAGCUGCUCUAUAGCUUAAACAGCAGUUCUAUAAAGGUCUUAGUACUCUGGCCUAGCAACAGUUUCCCAAAGAGAAGAAAAAAAUGAGAGAGGUGCAAAUUCUGGACUUUAUAACACGCUGUAUGUGCAAAAGUACCAAGUGGACGACACAGUAUUGUUUCAUCCCAUCAAGAAAAUAGAAAACUUUGACAGUAAUAAAAAAUGUAUUUCGAAAGUAAGUUGCCAUUGACAUCAGGUGAAACACUGUGCAAGGGAGGAUAGGAAGAUCAUACUCUGAGGCUGAGUAGUUUGCCUUCAAUCAAACAGUGCAUUCAUAUGUUCACUUUGAUUUAUACGCAGAAGGUCAUUUGAUGCCAGUAAUUGCAACAUUAGAAGUUAAAGAACUGGAAUGCCAGGGGUGACAGCAGGGUGAAUUUUCUUCUUCCUUCAAACCCUUCUUCAACCAAAGACUUGGAGGAUGAGGAUAUCUGAGUUUUACAUCUUCCCUCAAAAUGAGACUGCCAGCAUGGAUCCCAAGAUCAUAAGGAAUAAAGAGCUUAUGCGAGGAGAAGAAGAAUAUUGGGAAAGAUCGUAAUAGAUUCUGUACCAUCCAGAACUGAAAUAAAGGCACAGGAAAAGAACA